AGAAACGACGCCCCCCACGUAUCCAUUUCUCUCUUUCAGUAGAAAUAAAAAAAUGGAAUAAGCAAAAAUAGAUUUUUUUCUUGACUAAUCCACCUACCAUCCUUAUGGUCCAUACAGUAAAAAUCCUAUCCUUUUUUUUAAUAAAAGUUAUCUCUUCUUCAUUCCAUCUUCUUCUUUAUUAAUUAUUCUACACCAUAAACAUCAAUCUUAAAAGAUCAUCUUUCUUCAUGAAAAGAAAAAAACAGUGAAGCUACUCUUAUCAUUCUUCAUACAUAAUUCAUCAUUCAACCCACAUCUUUUUUUUUUCACAUACUGCUAUAUAAUACCAUAUAUUUCAAUUCUUUUUUUAACCAUACAUACUACCACUUUUCACCAUAUACUAUCAUCCUCUUAGCAACUCACACUCCAUAACUCACUAUAACACAAGUAAAAAUUUCAUGUACACUUUCUUUUUUCAUUAACCUCAUUAUCUCCUCCAAACCCCACAAAAAAAUAACCAUAAAAAUCUCACACAAAAAAACUCCACCAUUAACACCAUGUUAACCACCAUGUGAAACUCCACACUUAAACUCAAACAACUCUCCUUUUUUUAUCAUUUUAAAACCUCAUCUUUACUCUUCAAAUACCAUAAAAAGAACCUCACAAAAAAACCCCAACAACAAUAUAACUAACCACACCUACAACAAAAUAAAACUUGCUACUCAUCUUCAUCAAGACAUACAUCUCUAACACACUUUCGUUUCCGGUCGUCUAUCUCCACCGUGCAAUAAAGAGAAACAUCCGCCACCGCUAUCAUUUCCUCGUUCCCAAUCGUUGGAAGCAUAGAUGAAGCUAGAAUGAUGAGUGAGUGUCUUGUGAGAGAUGCCAAAACAAAAAAGGAAAGAAGAAGAGUUAUCUUUCAUUCUCUGUUCA